rnacentral:rRNA from 1 species
AUGAACGCUGGCGGCGUGCCUAAUACAUGCAAGUCGAGCGAACAGACGAGGAGCUUGCUCCUCUGACGUUAGCGGCGGACGGGUGAGUAACACGUGGAUAACCUACCUAUAAGACUGGGAUAACUUCGGGAAACCGGAGCUAAUACCGGAUAAUAUAUUGAACCGCAUGGUUCAAUAGUGAAAGACGGUUUUGCUGUCACUUAUAGAUGGAUCCGCGCCGCAUUAGCUAGUUGGUAAGGUAACGGCUUACCAAGGCAACGAUGCGUAGCCGACCUGAGAGGGUGAUCGGCCACACUGGAACUGAGACGCGGUCCAGACUCCUACGGGAGGCAGCAGUAGGGAAUCUUCCGCAAUGAGCGAAAGCUUGACGGAGCAACGCCGCGUGAGUGAUGAAGGUCUUCGGAUCGUAAAACUCUGUUAUUAGGGAAGAACAAAUGUGUAAGUAACUAUGCACGUCUUGACGGUACCUAAUCAGAAAGCCACGGCUAACUACGUG